AAAUGGUGUAGUUGGAAAAAUUAUUUACCUAAAUGGGUACUUUGAAAAUUAUUUAUCAAAAUGGGUUUUUUUUUAAACUAAUUUUUUCUCACUCCUAAUCUUUUUGGAUAAAAUAAUUUCUUUUCAAAAAUAUGUUAUUUAACAUGAGUUAAAGGAAAAUUUAUAGUUCAAUUAAAAAACAAUUCGUGUGACUUUGAAAAAAUUAUUUGAAUGUUAUUUAAAUUUUUUAUUAAUAUUUAUAUUUAUUUGAAUGUUGUCUAUGAGGGACAUGGUGGACCGGAGACGUCAAGAUUCGUUAACGAGAAUCUGUUUGCUAAUCUCAAGAGAUUUGCGUCUGAGGAUCAAGAUAUGUCUGCGAAUGUUAUCAAGAUAUGAGUUUCUUUCGGUUGUAAGAGAACAAUGGCGGAUAUGCCCGCAAAUAGCGUCUGUGGGGACGUGCUGUUCGGUUGUAAGAGAACAAUUGAUAGUGGUGUUAGGGAGAGCUGAUCGAGAAUGCAGGCGGUGAACGGUUAAAAAGCCAGAAGUCGAAGGUUACCGAAAUUCAAAAUGUAAGUACAAUACAUUACUCGAAAGGUUGAUGUUGUUCAAGGUCAGCAA